UACGAAGGGGACUAGCGUUGUUCGGAAUUACUGGGCGUAAAGCGCACGUAGGCGGAUUGCUAAGUCAGGGGUGAAAUCCCGGGGCUCAACCUCGGAACUGCCUUUGAUACUGACAAUCUCGAGUCCGAUAGAGGUGGGUGGAAUUCCUAGUGUAGAGGUGAAAUUCGUAGAUAUUAGGAAGAACACCGGUGGCGAAGGCGGCCCACUGGAUCGGUACUGACGCUGAGGUGCGAAAGCGUGGGGAGCGAACCGG
rnacentral:rRNA from 1 species